GUUGAACGCUGGCGGCAUGCCUAAUACAUGCAAGUCGAACGAACACACGAGUGGUUUCAUCCUGUGACGUUUGGGGCAGGCGGGUGAAUAACACGUGGAUAACUCAUGUAUAAGACUAGGAUAACUCCAGGACACGGUAGCUACCACCUAAUAAUUUCGUAUAACACAGGGUGACAUACUGACAGCCGGUUUUGCUGUCACUUGUAGACUGAUCCGCGCGUGAUUAGCUAGUUGGUCAGGUAACGGCUUACCAAGGCAACGAUGCGUAGCCGACCUGAGAGGCUGACCCGCCACACUGGGACUGAGACACGGUCCAGACUCCUACGGGAGGCAGCAGUGGGGAAUCUUCCACAAUGGGCGAAAGCCUGACGGAGCAACGCCGCGUGAGUGAAGAAGGCCUUCGGAUCGUAAAACUCUGUUGUUAGGGAAGAACAAAUGGGUAAGAAACUGUUCAGGUCUUGACGGUACCGAAUCAGUAAGCCCCGGCUAACUACGUG
rnacentral:rRNA from 1 species